rnacentral:rRNA from 1 species
UACGUAGGGGGCAAGCGUUGUCCGGAUUUAUUGGGCGUAAAGAGCGUGUAGGCGGCUUGGUAGGUCCGCUGUGAAAACUCGAGGCUCAACCUCGAGACGCCGGUGGAAACCAUCAGACUAGAGUCCGGAAGAGGAGAGUGGAAUUCCUGGUGUAGCGGUGAAAUGCGUAGAUAUUGGGAGGAACACCAGUGGCGAAGGCGGCUCACUGGACCGGAACUGACGCUGAGGCGCGAAAGCGUGGGGAGCAAACGGG